GACGAACGCUGGCGGCGUGCUUAACACAUGCAAGUCGAACGGAAAGGCCCUGCUUGCAGGGUGCUCGAGUGGCGAACGGGUGAGUAACACGUGGGUGAUCUGCCCCUUACUUUGGGAUAAGCCUGGGAAACUGGGUCUAAUACUGGAUAGGACCAUGCUGUAGGUGGUGUGGUGGAAAGAUUAGUUUCGGUAAGGGAUGAGCUCGCGGCCUAUCAGCUUGUUGGUGGGGUAAUGGCCUACCAAGGCGUCGACGGGUAGCCGGCCUGAGAGGGUGGACGGCCACAUUGGGACUGAGAUACGGCCCAGACUCCUACGGGAGGCAGCAGUGGGGAAUAUUGCACAAUGGGCGCAAGCCCGAUGCAGCGACGCCGCGUGGGGGAUGACGGCCUUCGGGUUGUAAACUCCUUUCAGCCAUGACGAAGCCCUUGUGGUGACGGUAGUGGUAGAAGAAGCACCGGCUAACUACGUG
rnacentral:rRNA from 1 species